UCCCUGCUGGUCCAGUGGUUAGGACUCUGUGCUUCGAAUUCAGGGGGCUUGGGUUCGAUCACCAGUCAUGGAA
rnacentral:tRNA from 1 species